GGGGAUGUGGCUCAAGGGGUAGCGUGCUCGCCUGGCAUGCGUAAGGCACUGGGUCGCCUGGCAUGCGAGAGGCACUGGGUUCGAUCCUCAGCACCACA
rnacentral:tRNA from 1 species